AGUGAACGCUGGCGGUAGGCCUAACACAUGCAAGUCGAACGGCAGCACAGUAAGAGCUUGUUCUUACUGGUGGCGGGUGGCGGACGGGUGAGGAAUACAUCGGAAUCUACUUUUUCGUGGGGGAUAACGUGGGCAAAUUUACGCUAAUACCGCAUACUACCUACGGGUGACAGCACAGGAUCUUCGGACCUUGCGCGUUUGAAUGAGCCGAUGUCGGAUUAGCUAGUUGGCGGGGUAAAGGCCCACCAAGGCGACGAUCCGUAGCUGGUCUGAGAGGAUGAUCAGCCACACUGGAACUGAGACACGGUCCAGACUCCUACGGGAGGCAGCAGUGGGGAAUUUUGGACAAUGGGCGCAAGCCUGAUCCAGCCAUACCGCGUGGGUGAAGAAGGCCUUCGGGUUGUAAAGCCCUUUUGUUGGGAAAGAAAAGCAGCAGGUUAAUACCCCGCUGUUCUGACGGUACCCAAAGAGUAAGCACCGGCUAACUUCGUG
rnacentral:rRNA from 1 species